rnacentral:rRNA from 1 species
CUGCUGCCUCCCGUAGGAGUUUGGGCCGUGUCUCAGUCCCAAUGUGGCCGGCCACCCUCUCAGGUCGGCUACUGAUCGUCGCCUUGGUGGGCCGUUACCUCACCAACCAGCUAAUCAGACGCGGAUCCAUCCCAUACCACCGGAGUUUUUCACACCGGACCAUGCGGUCCUGUGCGCUUAUGCGGUAUUAGCAGUCAUUUCUAACUGUUAUCCCCCUGUAUGAGGCAGGUUAUCCACGCGUUACUCACCCGUCCCG